GUCCACACCGUAAACGUUGGGCGCUAGGUGUGGGACUCAUUCCACGAGUUCCGUGCCGCAGCUAACGCAUUAAGCGCCCCGCCUGGGGAGUACGGCCGCAAGGCUAAAACUCAAAGGAAUUGACGGGGGCCCGCACAAGCGGCGGAGCAUGCGGAUUAAUUCGAUGCAACGCGAAGAACCUUACCUAGGUUUGACAUAUACGAGAACUCUCUAGAGAUAGAGAGCUCUUUGGACACUCGUAUACAGGUGGUGCAUGGCUGUCGU
rnacentral:rRNA from 1 species